AUGAUGCAGAGCUUGCAUUUCGUGAUUGACAAAUGGUCACCAUGGAACCGUAGUGGUUUUAGUCCUGGUCAGCGACGGCGUGGUUCUAUGCAGAGGCAAAGUUGUCGUGAAUAUGGAUCAAACGGGGCCUAUGCAGAGGCAAAGUUGUCGCCUGGCUGUAAGAUUCAAAAGCAUGUUCAACAGCUUUUUUGGGAUCCAAGUGGCUGCAGUUUAAUUUUUUCCUGGUCUGAAAUCUCCAUCAUCCGUACGAAGCUGUGUACAGUGGGACCUGAGUGGCUUGAACUUCUCUAUUUGUUUGGUGCUUUGCUCCGUCCACCUGUGGUCUAUGAUGAUGCUGCUUACACCAAGUUUCUACUUACCCAGUUUGAUAGAAGUCUAGUGGGCAAAUGGUUAACACUAGAGGUGCUUAUGAUGGUACGAGUAUCCGCUGCUAGCUUACUGGAUACCAUCUGA
rnacentral:rRNA from 1 species